rnacentral:rRNA from 1 species
UACGGAGGGUGCAAGCGUUAAUCGGAAUUACUGGGCGUAAAGCGUGCGUAGGUGGUUCGUUAAGUCCGUUGUGAAAGCCCCGAGCUCAACCUUGGGAAUUGCAGUGGAUACUGGCGAGCUGGAGUGCGGUAGAGGAAGGUGGAAUUCCCGGUGUAGCGGUGAAAUGCGUAGAUAUCGUCAAGAACACCGAUAGCGAAGGCAGCUUACUGGGCUGUAACUGACGCUGAUGCACGAAAAGUGUGGGGAUCAAACAGG